rnacentral:lncRNA from 1 species
ACUUUCUGUUAUCUGAGAAUAAACAUGCUGGGUUUGGAGGUCUCUUGAGAUGGGAUGCAGGAUCAGGGGAAGAAUUGGCCCCGCGGGCAGCUCUGGCCAUCAGCGAGAUGUGAGGUCACAAAGCAAGUGGUUCCUUUGCUCAGGUCAGGUUUCCCUCGGUCAUUCAGGGACCCGGGGGAAUGGAGAAGGAGGACCGACUGGAGGAUGGGGUAUGGUCUGUGGGGGAGAGUUCAAAACCGAGACGAAGGCUGAGCACAUGCUCUUUCACGGACAAGCCUGGGCUUCACGGAGCCACUCGACUUGGACACAGAUCUCGGUCCCCAUCCAUCUCCCCGUGGCUCCAGCCCCCCAGCUAAGUCUGGCUUUUAGGGAAUGUUUCAUUGGGCCCUCCUUUCUGGCAGUGCCGGGGGCUCCUGCCCUGGCGUCCGACCCCUCUGACACGUCUUCAAGGGCUUAUAGGCAGACGGAUGCUGGGCACAGCGCGCGGCCCCAGGUAAGCUUCUAAUGUGAUCAUUGCCUUUUAUUAUGUGCAUGUAAAGUGAUGUAUUUUGAAUCCCCUGCUUUGUAUAAAGCCUCAAAUAGUGUGUGCCUGCCUCCAGCAUCAACCCCUGGAUGCCGGACCCUUUCCAAGAACUGUGAGUCAAGGGGACUCUGUCUCAACUCACAGCUGUGACUGAGGGUCCGGGAGGGCCAUUGGCUGAAAGCCCGUUUGGUUCAUGGAAGGGGCUGAUGUUCCGGUCCAGUUCUGGCUCAGCCCAGUUACAGCAUGACAAGCGUUCGGCUCAGCGUGGUCCUCCUCGAGCCAAGAGCAAAUAUUACGAAAUGUUUUUAAAAAUCCAUUUUUCUCUUUGCCCAACAGUUCCUCUGUGCCUCCUGUGCUGUCUUCACACCUUGCACAGAGUCAGCAUCUGGUACCAUUUGUGGAACGGAUUGCGAUAAGAAUAAAGAGUGGGUUUGCGAGCUCACUCGUGUUUUGGGUUCCUAACCGGGCCCGGUGUGGGCGGUGAAGUGGGAGGCGGAGAAGGAAGUGGCUGGGAUCAGGCCUGAGGACACCUGGUGCCUGUCUGAGCCUUGGUCUCUGCCUCGCAGGGCGAGCAUGGCUGGUUCCUUCCCCUUGUGUGGGGGUGUGUCCUGACCUGCCAACAGACACAGGGACAGAGCAGCGAUUUCCUACCUUUUCUGGGACCCUCACUAACCAAAGACCCUUAGAGAACGGCUCUGUACGGAAGACCAGGUCACGGGGGCAGGGCAGGCAAGGCAGAGCCCUCUUGGCUGGCCUCCGACAGACACCUGGGGCUCUUCUGGGGCCCUCGGAUCCCUUUGCCAGCUUUGCGCACGCACCCCUGGCUUCUGUGUGCUUUGCUGCUGCUGCUGCUUCUUCUUCUUCUUCUUCUUCUUCUUUUUUUUUUUUUAAGAUUUUAUUUAUUUAUUUGACAGACAGAGAUCAAAGGUAGGCAGAGUCAGGCAGGAAGCGGUGGUGGGGGGGAGCAGGC